rnacentral:snRNA from 1 species
GAUUUAACGACAUUGGAC